UAACAAUGACUUUAAUGUAAUAAACAAAAAUAUAGUGCAAUAAAUUGUAGUUCUUAAUGUUAAUAUUUUUUGAAACAAACAUUUUCAAAAAAUUAAAUUGUAUUCUUUUAGAUAUUAUUUAUUUGACGUCUUUUAAAUCGACGCAUUAGAAAGUUUAUCGUCAUUAUUAUUAAAUAUAGAACAAAUAUUAAAUUAACAAAUUUAAUGUUCUAUAUUUAAUUUCUAUGGUUAAUUUCUUAUAAAUAAUUAUUUUAAACUAUUCUUGCAAUAAUUUGUAUGUUUAGUUUGAUUAAUUUUCAAUCUUAUUUGAUUGCGAUGAAUUUUCUAUAAUAUUGACAACUUAUUUAUACUGUUAAAUAUGACGUAAUCACAAUCAGGGAAACUUUGAAAUAUGUAUUAGCACUGAAGAGGACUCGAAUCGGGAGUCGAAACGACUGCGUUUUAUUUGUUAAUGUAUUUGUAUUACAUUGCAACGCAAUUUAACAUCUUAAGUAGUAAAUAAAAAACUUUGUGCUGGUUCUUAUUGGGUCGUUUUUUUAAUGUUUUAGUUAUUAUUAUGUUACCUUUAAAAUGGCGUUCCUGGAUAUCCAACUCUCGAAUACUUAACCCGUUAUGGCCCCACUGAAUACUGUGCAUUGCAGCCCGAAUUUCUUGCAACUACAAUUUUUUUGCAAUUUUUAAUGGACUUGCAUGAUAUUAAUGUCAGUAACGAGUGGUGCUGGGUCUUUCAUCAUACGAACAGGCAUUAGUCCAUUUUUUGUGGUCUUUCUGUUCCACUGUAACGGAUUCAAAUUUUCACCGUACCACUGUUGGAUUUGAAAGUAUGCUCGUUUUCCAUGUAAUUUCCCGGCGUCAGCAGUUGGAGGCAGACAUUUUUUGCUACACGCCGACCUGGCCUGCAGUUAUCUCUCCUCACGCACGUGGCUACGAUACGUCUUUUGUUUGUAUGCAUUGUUUGGACGCCAGAAUUGGUGAGGUAUGCUGAACUUUCUCCAAAACAGCAGCGUGUGACAAGACGUGUCACGUUACGACAUGUCAGAUCGCACGUUUACGAAAAAAUAUUUAAACCAGAUGCAUCUAUUUAGACGGCACUGGAAAAAUUAAUAAUUCCUGAAGCGUCUAUUUAAAUGGAACUGGAAAAAAUAAUUAAACUAAAAGAUGCAUCUAUUUAGACGGCACUGGAAAAAUUAAUUCCUGAAGCGUCUAUUUAGAUAAAACUGGAAAAAAUAUUUAAAUUAUAGAUGGAUCUAUUUAGAUGGCACUGGAAAAAAUAAUAAUUCCUGAAGCGUUUAUUUAAAAUUUUAUAAUACCAUAUGCAUCUAUUUAGACAGCACUGGUAAAAGUAAUAUAAUAAAUGAAGUGUCUAUUUAGAUGGUACUGGUAAUAUUACAUAUAUCGAAACUAGAUGCGUAUAUUUAGAUGGUAUUGAUAAAAAUAAUUUAAAAAAUAUACAUAGAUUAGAAUCGGAGAAACGAAAAAUAAUAUUGGUUGCGUUUUACGGCACUGGGCGAUGGAAAGGCUCAUUUCUCAUAAAUAUAAAAUAAUAGCUGAAGCGUCUGUUUGGACGGUACUGAUUAAAUCAUAAUAUCGGAAGCGUCUAUUUAGACGGUACUGAUAAAAUUAUUAAUAUCUGAAGCGUCUAUUUAGAUGGUACUAAUAAAAUUAUAAUAUCGGAAGCGUCUAUUUAGACGGUACUGAUGAAAUUAUUAAUAUCUAAAGCAUCUAUUAAAAUAAGGACGGCACUAGUAACAUUAAAAAUACCUGAAGCAUCUAUGUAGAUGGUACUGGUAAAAUUAUAUAUAUCAAAACUAGAUGCGUCUAUUACUUAGAUGGUAUUGAUAUAAUUAAUAAUUUAAAUACAUACACAAAUUAAAAUUGGAGAAACAAAGAACAAUAUUGGUUGCGUUUCACGGGACUGGGCGAUGGAGGGGCCCAUUUCUUAUAAAUAUAAAAUAAUAGCUGAAGCGUCCGUUUGGACGGUACUGAUUAAAUUAUAAUAUCUGAAGCGUCUAUUUAGACGGUACUGAUGAAAUUAUUAAUAUCUAAAGCAUUUAUUAAAAUUAAGACGGCACUAGUAACAUUAAAAAUAUUUGAAGCGUCUAUGUAGAUGGUACUGGUAAUAUUAUAUAUAUCAAAACUAGAUGCGUCUGUUAUUUAGAUGGUAUUGAUAUAAUUAAUAAUUUAAAAUGCAUACACAAAUUAGAAUCGGAGAAACGAAGAACAUUAAUGAUUGCGUUUCACGGACUGGACGAUGGAGGGGCCCAUUUUUCAUCAAUAGAAAAUAAUAGAUGAAGCGUCUGUGUGGACGGUACUAAUUAAAUUAUAAUAUCUGAAACAUCUAUUAUAAUUAAGACGGCACUAGUAACAUUAAUAAUACCUGAAGCAUUUAUGUGGAUGGAACUUGUAAUAUUAUAUAUGUAUAUCAAAACUAGAUGCGUCUAUUUAGAUGGUAUUGAUAUAAUUAAUAGUUAUAAAAAAAUUAGAAUCGGAGAAACGAAGAACAAUAUUGGUUGCGUUUUACGGGACUGGGCGAUGGAGGGGCCCAUUUCUCAUAAAUAUAAAAUAAUAGCUGAAGCGUCUGUGUGGACGGUACUGAUUAAAUUGUAAUAUCUGAAGCGGCUAUUUAGAUGGUACUGAUGAAAUUAUAAGACGGCACUAGUAACAUUAAAAAUACCUGAAGCAUCUAUGUAGAUGGUACUGGUAAUAUUAUAUAUAUCAAAACUAGAUGCGUCUAUUACUUAGAUGGUAUUGAUAUAAUUAAUAAUUUAAAAUGCAUACACAAAUUAGAAUCGGAGAAACGAAGAACAAUAAUGGUUGCGUUUCACGGACUGGGCGAUGGAGGGGCCCAUUUUUCAUAAAUAGAAAAUAAUACCUGAAGCGUCUGUGUGGACGGUACUAAUUAAAUUAUAAUAUCUGAAACAUCUAUUAUAAUUAAGACGGCACUAGUAACAUUAAUAAUACCUGAAGCAUUUAUGUGGAUGGUACUUGUAAUAUUAUAUAUGUAUAUCAAAACUAGAUGCGUCUAUUUAGAUGGUAUUGAUAUAAUUAAUAGUUAUAAAAAAAUUAGAAUCGUAGAAACGAAGAACAAUAUUGGUUGCGUUUUACGGGACUGGGCGAUGGAGGGGCCCAUUUCUCAUAAAUAUAAAAUAAUAGCUGAAGCGUCUGUGUGGACGGUACUGAUUAAAUUGUAAUAUCUGAAGCGUCUAUUUAGACGGUACUGAUGAAAUUAUUAAUAUCUAAAGCAUCUAUUAAAAUUAAGACGGCACUAGUAACAUUAAAAAUACCUAAAGCGUCUAUGUAGAUGGUACUGGUAAUAUUAUAUAUAUCAAAACUAGAUGCGUCUGUUACUUAGAUGGUAUUGAUAUAAUUAAUAAUUUAAAAUACAUACACAAAUUAGAAUCGGAGAAACGAAAAACAAUAUUGGUUGCGUUUUACGGGACUGGGCGAUGGAGGGGCCCAUUUUUCAUAAAUAUAAAAUAAUAGCUGAAGCGUCUGUUUGGACGGUACUGAUUAAAUUAUAAUAUCUGAAGCGUCUGUUUGGACGGUACUGAUUAAAUUAUAAUAUCUGAAGCGUCUAUUUAGACGGUACUGAUGAAAUUAUUAAUAUCUAAAGCAUUUAUUAAAAUUAAGACAGCACUAGUAACAUUAAUAAUACCUGAAGCGUCUAUGUAGAUGGUACUGGUAAUAUUAUAUAUAUCAAAACUAGAUGCGUCUGUUAUUUAGAUGGUAUUGAUAUAAUUAAUAAUUUAAAAUGCAUACACAAAUUAGAAUCGGAGAAACGAAGAACAAUAAUGGUUGCGUUUCACGGACUGGGCGAUGGAGAGGCCUAUUUUUCAUAAAUAGAAAAUAAUAGCUGAAGCGUCUGUGUGGACGGUACUAAUUAAAUUAUAAUAUCUGAAACAUCUAUUAAAAUUAAGACGGCACUAGUAACAUUAAUAAUACCUGAAGCAUUUAUGUGGAUGGUACUGAUAAUAUUGUAUAUGUAUAUCAAAACUAGAUGUGUCUAUUUAGAUGGUAUUAAUAUAAUUAACAGUUAUAAAAAAAUUAGAAUCGGAGAAACGGAGAACAAUAAUGGUUGCGUUUCACGGACUGGGCGAUGGAGGGGCCCAUUUUUCACAAAUAGAAAAUAAUAGCUGAAGCGUCUGUGUGGACGGUACUAAUUAAAUUAUAAUAUCUGAAACAUCUAUUAUAAUUAAGACGGCACUAGUAACAUUAAUAAUACCUGAAGCAUUUAUGUGGAUGGUACUUGUAAUAUUAUAUAUGUAUAUCAAAACUAGAUGCGUCUAUUUAGAUGGUAUUGAUAUAAUUAAUAGUUAUAAAAAAAUUAGAAUCGGAGAAACGAAGAACAAUAUUGGUUGCGUUUUACGGGACUGGGCGAUGGAGGGGCCCAUUUCUCAUAAAUAUAAAAUAAUAGCUGAAGCGUCUGUGUGGACGGUACUGAUUAAAUUGUAAUAUCUGAAGCGUCUAUUUAGACGGUACUGAUGAAAUUAUUAAUAUCUAAAGCAUCUAUUAAAAUUAAGACGGCACUAGUAACAUUAAAAAUACCUAAAGCGUCUAUGUAGAUGGUACUGGUAAUAUUAUAUAUAUCAAAACUAGAUGCGUCUGUUACUUAGAUGGUAUUGAUAUAAUUAAUAAUUUAAAAUGCAUACACAAAUUAGAAUCGGAGAAACGAAAAACAAUAUUGGUUGCGUUUUACGGGACUGGGCGAUGGAGGGGCCCAUUUUUCAUAAAUAUAAAAUAAUAGCUGAAGCGUCUGUUUGGACGGUACUGAUUAAAUUAUAAUAUCUGAAGCGUCUGUUUGGACGGUACUGAUUAAAUUAUAAUAUCUGAAGCGUCUAUUUAGACGGUACUGAUGAAAUUAUUAAUAUCUAAAGCAUUUAUUAAAAUUAAGACAGCACUAGUAACAUUAAUAAUACCUGAAGCGUCUAUGUAGAUGGUACUGGUAAUAUUAUAUAUAUCAAAACUAGAUGCGUCUGUUAUUUAGAUGGUAUUGAUAUAAUUAAUAAUUUAAAAUGCAUACACAAAUUAGAAUCGGAGAAACGAAGAACAAUAAUGGUUGCGUUUCACGGACUGGGCGAUGGAGGGGCCCAUUUUUCACAAAUAGAAAAUAAUAGCUGAAGCGUCUGUGUGGACGGUACUAAUUAAAUUAUAAUAUCUGAAACAUCUAUUAUAAUUAAGACGGCACUAGUAACAUUAAUAAUACCUGAAGCAUUUAUGUGGAUGGUACUUGUAAUAUUAUAUAUGUAUAUCAAAACUAGAUGCGUCUAUUUAGAUGGUAUUGAUAUAAUUAAUAGUUAUAAAAAAAUUAGAAUCGGAGAAACGAAGAACAAUAUUGGUUGCGUUUUACGGGACUGGGCGAUGGAGGGGCCCAUUUCUCAUAAAUAUAAAAUAAUAGCUGAAGCGUCUGUGUGGACGGUACUGAUUAAAUUGUAAUAUCUGAAGCGGCUAUUUAGAUGGUACUGAUGAAAUUAUAAGACGGCACUAGUAACAUUAAAAAUACCUGAAGCAUCUAUGUAGAUGGUACUGGUAAUAUUAUAUAUAUCAAAACUAGAUGCGUCUAUUACUUAGAUGGUAUUGAUAUAAUUAAUAAUUUAAAAUGCAUACACAAAUUAGAAUCGGAGAAACGAAGAACAAUAUUGGUUGCGUUUUACGGGACUGGGCGAUGGAGGGGCUCAUUUCUCAUAAAUAUAAAAUAAUAGCUGAAGCGUCUGUGUGGACGGUACUGAUUAAAUUGUAAUAUCUGAUGCGUCUAUUUAGACGGUACUGAUGAAAUUAUUAAUAUCUAAAGCAUCUAUUAAAAUUAAGACGUCACUAGUAACAUUAAAAAUACCUGAAGCGUCUAUGUAGAUGGUACUGGUAAUAUUAUAUAUAUCAAAACUAGAUGCGUCUGUUACUUAGAUGGUAUUGAUAUAAUUAAUAAUUUAAAAUACAUACACAAAUUAGAAUCGGAGAAACGAAAAACAAUAUUGGUUGCGUUUCACAGGACUGGGCGAUGGAGGGGCCCAUUUUUCAUAAAUAUAAAAUAAUAGCUGAAGCGUCUGUUUGGACGGUACUGAUUAAAUUAUAAUAUCUGAAGCGUCUGUUUGGACGGUACUGAUUAAAUUAUAAUAUCUGAAGCGUCUAUUUAGACGGUACUGAUGAAAUUAUUCAUACCUAAAGCAUUUAUUAAAAUUAAGACGGCACUAGUAACAUUAAUAAUAUCUGAAGCGUCUAUGUAGAUGGUACUGGUAAUAUUAUAUAUAUCAAAACUAGAUGCGUCUAUUACUUAGAUGGUAUUGAUAUAAUUAAUAAUUUAAAAUGCAUACACAAAUUAGAAUCGGAGAAACGAAGAACAAUAUUGGUUGCGUUUUACGGGACUGGGCGAUGGAGGGGCCCAUUUUUCAUAAAUAUAAAAUAAUAGCUGAAGCGUCUGUUUGGACGGUACUGAUUAAAUUAUAAUAUCUGAAGCGUCUGUUUGGACGGUACUGAUUAAAUUAUAAUAUCUGAAGCGUCUAUUUAGACGGUACUGAUGAAAUUAUUAAUACCUAAAGCAUUUAUUAAAAUUAAGACGGCACUAGUAACAUUAAUAAUAUCUGAAGCGUCUAUGUAGAUGGUACUGGUAAUAUUAUAUAUAUCAAAACUAGAUGCGUCUGUUAUUUAGAUGGUAUUGAUAUAAUUAAUAAUUUAAAAUGCAUACACAAAUUAGAAUCGGAGAAACGAAGAACAAUAAUGGUUGCGUUUCACGGACUGGGCGAUGGAGAGGCCUAUUUUUCAUAAAUAGAAAAUAAUAGCUGAAGCGUCUGUGUGGACGGUACUAAUUAAAUUAUAAUAUCUGAAACAUCUAUUAAAAUUAAGACGGCACUAGUAACAUUAAUAAUACCUGAAGCAUUUAUGUGGAUGGAACUUGUAAUAUUAUAUAUGUAUAUCAAAACUAGAUGCGUCUAUUUAGAUGGUAUUGAUAUAAUUAAUAGUUAUAAAAAAAUUAGAAUCGGAGAAACGAAGAACAAUAUUGGUUGCGUUUUACGGGACUGGGCGAUGGAGGGGCCCAUUUCUCAUAAAUAUAAAAUAAUAGCUGAAGCGUCUGUGUGGACGGUACUGAUUAAAUUGUAAUAUCUGAAGCGGCUAUUUAGAUGGUACUGAUGAAAUUAUAAGACGGCACUAGUAACAUUAAAAAUACCUGAAGCAUCUAUGUAGAUGGUACUGGUAAUAUUAUAUAUAUCAAAACUAGAUGCGUCUAUUACUUAGAUGGUAUUGAUAUAAUUAAUAAUUUAAAAUGCAUACACAAAUUAGAAUCGGAGAAACGAAGAACAAUAAUGGUUGCGUUUCACGGACUGGGCGAUGGAGGGGCCCAUUUUUCAUAAAUAGAAAAUAAUACCUGAAGCGUCUGUGUGGACGGUACUAAUUAAAUUAUAAUAUCUGAAACAUCUAUUAUAAUUAAGACGGCACUAGUAACAUUAAUAAUACCUGAAGCAUUUAUGUGGAUGGUACUUGUAAUAUUAUAUAUGUAUAUCAAAACUAGAUGCGUCUAUUUAGAUGGUAUUGAUAUAAUUAAUAGUUAUAAAAAAAUUAGAAUCGUAGAAACGAAGAACAAUAUUGGUUGCGUUUUACGGGACUGGGCGAUGGAGGGGCCCAUUUCUCAUAAAUAUAAAAUAAUAGCUGAAGCGUCUGUGUGGACGGUACUGAUUAAAUUGUAAUAUCUGAAGCGUCUAUUUAGACGGUACUGAUGAAAUUAUUAAUAUCUAAAGCAUCUAUUAAAAUUAAGACGGCACUAGUAACAUUAAAAAUACCUAAAGCGUCUAUGUAGAUGGUACUGGUAAUAUUAUAUAUAUCAAAACUAGAUGCGUCUGUUACUUAGAUGGUAUUGAUAUAAUUAAUAAUUUAAAAUACAUACACAAAUUAGAAUCGGAGAAACGAAAAACAAUAUUGGUUGCGUUUUACGGGACUGGGCGAUGGAGGGGCCCAUUUUUCAUAAAUAUAAAAUAAUAGCUGAAGCGUCUGUUUGGACGGUACUGAUUAAAUUAUAAUAUCUGAAGCGUCUGUUUGGACGGUACUGAUUAAAUUAUAAUAUCUGAAGCGUCUAUUUAGACGGUACUGAUGAAAUUAUUAAUAUCUAAAGCAUUUAUUAAAAUUAAGACAGCACUAGUAACAUUAAUAAUACCUGAAGCGUCUAUGUAGAUGGUACUGGUAAUAUUAUAUAUAUCAAAACUAGAUGCGUCUGUUAUUUAGAUGGUAUUGAUAUAAUUAAUAAUUUAAAAUGCAUACACAAAUUAGAAUCGGAGAAACGAAGAACAAUAAUGGUUGCGUUUCACGGACUGGGCGAUGGAGAGGCCUAUUUUUCAUAAAUAGAAAAUAAUAGCUGAAGCGUCUGUGUGGACGGUACUAAUUAAAUUAUAAUAUCUGAAACAUCUAUUAAAAUUAAGACGGCACUAGUAACAUUAAUAAUACCUGAAGCAUUUAUGUGGAUGGUACUGAUAAUAUUGUAUAUGUAUAUCAAAACUAGAUGUGUCUAUUUAGAUGGUAUUAAUAUAAUUAACAGUUAUAAAAAAAUUAGAAUCGGAGAAACGGAGAACAAUAAUGGUUGCGUUUCACGGACUGGGCGAUGGAGGGGCCCAUUUUUCACAAAUAGAAAAUAAUAGCUGAAGCGUCUGUGUGGACGGUACUAAUUAAAUUAUAAUAUCUGAAACAUCUAUUAUAAUUAAGACGGCACUAGUAACAUUAAUAAUACCUGAAGCAUUUAUGUGGAUGGUACUUGUAAUAUUAUAUAUGUAUAUCAAAACUAGAUGCGUCUAUUUAGAUGGUAUUGAUAUAAUUAAUAGUUAUAAAAAAAUUAGAAUCGGAGAAACGAAGAACAAUAUUGGUUGCGUUUUACGGGACUGGGCGAUGGAGGGGCCCAUUUCUCAUAAAUAUAAAAUAAUAGCUGAAGCGUCUGUGUGGACGGUACUGAUUAAAUUGUAAUAUCUGAAGCGUCUAUUUAGACGGUACUGAUGAAAUUAUUAAUAUCUAAAGCAUCUAUUAAAAUUAAGACGGCACUAGUAACAUUAAAAAUACCUAAAGCGUCUAUGUAGAUGGUACUGGUAAUAUUAUAUAUAUCAAAACUAGAUGCGUCUGUUACUUAGAUGGUAUUGAUAUAAUUAAUAAUUUAAAAUGCAUACACAAAUUAGAAUCGGAGAAACGAAAAACAAUAUUGGUUGCGUUUUACGGGACUGGGCGAUGGAGGGGCCCAUUUUUCAUAAAUAUAAAAUAAUAGCUGAAGCGUCUGUUUGGACGGUACUGAUUAAAUUAUAAUAUCUGAAGCGUCUGUUUGGACGGUACUGAUUAAAUUAUAAUAUCUGAAGCGUCUAUUUAGACGGUACUGAUGAAAUUAUUAAUACCUAAAGCAUUUAUUAAAAUUAAGACGGCACUAGUAACAUUAAUAAUAUCUGAAGCGUCUAUGUAGAUGGUACUGGUAAUAUUAUAUAUAUCAAAACUAGAUGCGUCUGUUAUUUAGAUGGUAUUGAUAUAAUUAAUAAUUUAAAAUGCAUACACAAAUUAGAAUCGGAGAAACGAAGAACAAUAAUGGUUGCGUUUCACGGACUGGGCGAUGGAGAGGCCUAUUUUUCAUAAAUAGAAAAUAAUAGCUGAAGCGUCUGUGUGGACGGUACUAAUUAAAUUAUAAUAUCUGAAACAUCUAUUAAAAUUAAGACGGCACUAGUAACAUUAAUAAUACCUGAAGCAUUUAUGUGGAUGGUACUUGUAAUAUUAUAUAUGUAUAUCAAAACUAGAUGCGUCUAUUUAGAUGGUAUUGGUAUAAUUAAUAGUUAUAAAAAAAUUAGAAUCGGAGAAACGGAGAACAAUAAUGGUUGCGUUUCACGGACUGGGCGAUGGAGGGGCCCAUUUUUCACAAAUAGAAAAUAAUAGCUGAAGCGUCUGUGUGGACGGUACUAAUUAAAUUAUAAUAUGUGAAACAUCUAUUAUAAUUAAGACGGCACUAGUAACAUUAAUAAUACCUGAAGCAUUUAUGUGGAUGGUACUUGUAAUAUUAUAUAUGUAUAUCAAAACUAGAUGCGUCUAUUUAGAUGGUAUUGAUAUAAUUAAUAGUUAUAAAAAAAUUAGAAUCGGAGAAACUAAGAACAAUAUUGGUUGCGUUUUACGGGACUGGGCGAUGGAGGGGCCCAUUUCUCAUAAAUAUAAAAUAAUAGCUGAAGCGUCUGUGUGGACGGUACUGAUUAAAUUGUAAUAUCUGAAGCGUCUAUUUAGACGGUACUGAUGAAAUUAUUCAUACCUAAAGCAUUUAUUAAAAUUAAGACGGCACUAGUAACAUUAAUAAUAUCUGAAGCGUCUAUGUAGAUGGUACUGGUAAUAUUAUAUAUAUCAAAACUAGAUGCGUCUAUUACUUAGAUGGUAUUGAUAUAAUUAAUAAUUUAAAAUGCAUACACAAAUUAGAAUCGGAGAAACGAAGAACAAUAUUGGUUGCGUUUUACGGGACUGGGCGAUGGAGGGGCCCAUUUUUCAUAAAUAUAAAAUAAUAGCUGAAGCGUCUGUUUGGACGGUACUGAUUAAAUUAUAAUAUCUGAAGCGUCUGUUUGGACGGUACUGAUUAAAUUAUAAUAUCUGAAGCGUCUAUUUAGACGGUACUGAUGAAAUUAUUAAUACCUAAAGCAUUUAUUAAAAUUAAGACGGCACUAGUAACAUUAAUAAUAUCUGAAGCGUCUAUGUAGAUGGUACUGGUAAUAUUAUAUAUAUCAAAACUAGAUGCGUCUGUUAUUUAGAUGGUAUUGAUAUAAUUAAUAAUUUAAAAUGCAUACACAAAUUAGAAUCGGAGAAACGAAGAACAAUAAUGGUUGCGUUUCACGGACUGGGCGAUGGAGAGGCCUAUUUUUCAUAAAUAGAAAAUAAUAGCUGAAGCGUCUGUGUGGACGGUACUAAUUAAAUUAUAAUAUCUGAAACAUCUAUUAAAAUUAAGACGGCACUAGUAACAUUAAUAAUACCUGAAGCAUUUAUGUGGAUGGAACUUGUAAUAUUAUAUAUGUAUAUCAAAACUAGAUGCGUCUAUUUAGAUGGUAUUGAUAUAAUUAAUAGUUAUAAAAAAAUUAGAAUCGGAGAAACGAAGAACAAUAUUGGUUGCGUUUUACGGGACUGGGCGAUGGAGGGGCCCAUUUCUCAUAAAUAUAAAAUAAUAGCUGAAGCGUCUGUGUGGACGGUACUGAUUAAAUUGUAAUAUCUGAAGCGGCUAUUUAGAUGGUACUGAUGAAAUUAUAAGACGGCACUAGUAACAUUAAAAAUACCUGAAGCAUCUAUGUAGAUGGUACUGGUAAUAUUAUAUAUAUCAAAACUAGAUGCGUCUAUUACUUAGAUGGUAUUGAUAUAAUUAAUAAUUUAAAAUGCAUACACAAAUUAGAAUCGGAGAAACGAAGAACAAUAAUGGUUGCGUUUCACGGACUGGGCGAUGGAGGGGCCCAUUUUUCAUAAAUAGAAAAUAAUACCUGAAGCGUCUGUGUGGACGGUACUAAUUAAAUUAUAAUAUCUGAAACAUCUAUUAUAAUUAAGACGGCACUAGUAACAUUAAUAAUACCUGAAGCAUUUAUGUGGAUGGUACUUGUAAUAUUAUAUAUGUAUAUCAAAACUAGAUGCGUCUAUUUAGAUGGUAUUGAUAUAAUUAAUAGUUAUAAAAAAAUUAGAAUCGUAGAAACGAAGAACAAUAUUGGUUGCGUUUUACGGGACUGGGCGAUGGAGGGGCCCAUUUCUCAUAAAUAUAAAAUAAUAGCUGAAGCGUCUGUGUGGACGGUACUGAUUAAAUUGUAAUAUCUGAAGCGUCUAUUUAGACGGUACUGAUGAAAUUAUUAAUAUCUAAAGCAUCUAUUAAAAUUAAGACGGCACUAGUAACAUUAAAAAUACCUAAAGCGUCUAUGUAGAUGGUACUGGUAAUAUUAUAUAUAUCAAAACUAGAUGCGUCUGUUACUUAGAUGGUAUUGAUAUAAUUAAUAAUUUAAAAUACAUACACAAAUUAGAAUCGGAGAAACGAAAAACAAUAUUGGUUGCGUUUUACGGGACUGGGCGAUGGAGGGGCCCAUUUUUCAUAAAUAUAAAAUAAUAGCUGAAGCGUCUGUUUGGACGGUACUGAUUAAAUUAUAAUAUCUGAAGCGUCUGUUUGGACGGUACUGAUUAAAUUAUAAUAUCUGAAGCGUCUAUUUAGACGGUACUGAUGAAAUUAUUAAUAUCUAAAGCAUUUAUUAAAAUUAAGACAGCACUAGUAACAUUAAUAAUACCUGAAGCGUCUAUGUAGAUGGUACUGGUAAUAUUAUAUAUAUCAAAACUAGAUGCGUCUGUUAUUUAGAUGGUAUUGAUAUAAUUAAUAAUUUAAAAUGCAUACACAAAUUAGAAUCGGAGAAACGAAGAACAAUAAUGGUUGCGUUUCACGGACUGGGCGAUGGAGAGGCCUAUUUUUCAUAAAUAGAAAAUAAUAGCUGAAGCGUCUGUGUGGACGGUACUAAUUAAAUUAUAAUAUCUGAAACAUCUAUUAAAAUUAAGACGGCACUAGUAACAUUAAUAAUACCUGAAGCAUUUAUGUGGAUGGUACUGAUAAUAUUGUAUAUGUAUAUCAAAACUAGAUGUGUCUAUUUAGAUGGUAUUAAUAUAAUUAACAGUUAUAAAAAAAUUAGAAUCGGAGAAACGGAGAACAAUAAUGGUUGCGUUUCACGGACUGGGCGAUGGAGGGGCCCAUUUUUCACAAAUAGAAAAUAAUAGCUGAAGCGUCUGUGUGGACGGUACUAAUUAAAUUAUAAUAUCUGAAACAUCUAUUAUAAUUAAGACGGCACUAGUAACAUUAAUAAUACCUGAAGCAUUUAUGUGGAUGGUACUUGUAAUAUUAUAUAUGUAUAUCAAAACUAGAUGCGUCUAUUUAGAUGGUAUUGAUAUAAUUAAUAGUUAUAAAAAAAUUAGAAUCGGAGAAACGAAGAACAAUAUUGGUUGCGUUUUACGGGACUGGGCGAUGGAGGGGCCCAUUUCUCAUAAAUAUAAAAUAAUAGCUGAAGCGUCUGUGUGGACGGUACUGAUUAAAUUGUAAUAUCUGAAGCGUCUAUUUAGACGGUACUGAUGAAAUUAUUAAUAUCUAAAGCAUCUAUUAAAAUUAAGACGGCACUAGUAACAUUAAAAAUACCUAAAGCGUCUAUGUAGAUGGUACUGGUAAUAUUAUAUAUAUCAAAACUAGAUGCGUCUGUUACUUAGAUGGUAUUGAUAUAAUUAAUAAUUUAAAAUGCAUACACAAAUUAGAAUCGGAGAAACGAAAAACAAUAUUGGUUGCGUUUUACGGGACUGGGCGAUGGAGGGGCCCAUUUUUCAUAAAUAUAAAAUAAUAGCUGAAGCGUCUGUUUGGACGGUACUGAUUAAAUUAUAAUAUCUGAAGCGUCUGUUUGGACGGUACUGAUUAAAUUAUAAUAUCUGAAGCGUCUAUUUAGACGGUACUGAUGAAAUUAUUAAUACCUAAAGCAUUUAUUAAAAUUAAGACGGCACUAGUAACAUUAAUAAUAUCUGAAGCGUCUAUGUAGAUGGUACUGGUAAUAUUAUAUAUAUCAAAACUAGAUGCGUCUGUUAUUUAGAUGGUAUUGAUAUAAUUAAUAAUUUAAAAUGCAUACACAAAUUAGAAUCGGAGAAACGAAGAACAAUAAUGGUUGCGUUUCACGGACUGGGCGAUGGAGAGGCCUAUUUUUCAUAAAUAGAAAAUAAUAGCUGAAGCGUCUGUGUGGACGGUACUAAUUAAAUUAUAAUAUCUGAAACAUCUAUUAAAAUUAAGACGGCACUAGUAACAUUAAUAAUACCUGAAGCAUUUAUGUGGAUGGUACUUGUAAUAUUAUAUAUGUAUAUCAAAACUAGAUGCGUCUAUUUAGAUGGUAUUGGUAUAAUUAAUAGUUAUAAAAAAAUUAGAAUCGGAGAAACGGAGAACAAUAAUGGUUGCGUUUCACGGACUGGGCGAUGGAGGGGCCCAUUUUUCACAAAUAGAAAAUAAUAGCUGAAGCGUCUGUGUGGACGGUACUAAUUAAAUUAUAAUAUGUGAAACAUCUAUUAUAAUUAAGACGGCACUAGUAACAUUAAUAAUACCUGAAGCAUUUAUGUGGAUGGUACUUGUAAUAUUAUAUAUGUAUAUCAAAACUAGAUGCGUCUAUUUAGAUGGUAUUGAUAUAAUUAAUAGUUAUAAAAAAAUUAGAAUCGGAGAAACUAAGAACAAUAUUGGUUGCGUUUUACGGGACUGGGCGAUGGAGGGGCCCAUUUCUCAUAAAUAUAAAAUAAUAGCUGAAGCGUCUGUGUGGACGGUACUGAUUAAAUUGUAAUAUCUGAAGCGUCUAUUUAGACGGUACUGAUGAAAUUAUUAAUAUCUAAAGCAUCUAUUAAAAUUAAGACGGCACUAGUAACAUUAAAAAUACCUAAAGCGUCUAUGUAGAUGGUACUGGUAAUAUUAUAUAUAUCAAAACUAGAUGCGUCUGUUACUUAGAUGGUAUUGAUAUAAUUAAUAAUUUAAAAUGCAUACACAAAUUAGAAUCGGAGAAACGAAAAACAAUAUUGGUUGCGUUUUACGGGACUGGGCGAUGGAGGGGCCCAUUUUUCAUAAAUAUAAAAUAAUAGCUGAAGCGUCUGUUUGGACGGUACUGAUUAAAUUAUAAUAUCUGAAGCGUCUGUUUGGACGGUACUGAUUAAAUUAUAAUAUCUGAAGCGUCUAUUUAGACGGUACUGAUGAAAUUAUUAAUAUCUAAAGCAUUUAUUAAAAUUAAGACAGCACUAGUAACAUUAAUAAUACCUGAAGCGUCUAUGUAGAUGGUACUGGUAAUAUUAUAUAUAUCAAAACUAGAUGCGUCUGUUAUUUAGAUGGUAUUGAUAUAAUUAAUAAUUUAAAAUGCAUACACAAAUUAGAAUCGGAGAAACGAAGAACAAUAAUGGUUGCGUUUCACGGACUGGGCGAUGGAGAGGCCUAUUUUUCAUAAAUAGAAAAUAAUAGCUGAAGCGUCUGUGUGGACGGUACUAAUUAAAUUAUAAUAUCUGAAACAUCUAUUAUAAUUAAGACGGCACUAGUAACAUUAAUAAUACCUGAAGCAUUUAUGUGGAUGGCACUUGUAAUAUUAUAUAUGUAUAUCAAAACUAGAUGCGUCUAUUUAGAUGGUAUUGAUAUAAUUAAUAGUUAUAAAAAAAUUAGAAUCGGAGAAACGAAGAACAAUAUUGGUUGCGUUUUACGGGACUGGGCGAUGGAGGGGCUCAUUUCUCAUAAAUAUAAAAUAAUAGCUGAAGCGUCUGUGUGGACGGUACUGAUUAAAUUGUAAUAUCUGAAGCGUUUAUUUAGACGGUACUGAUGAAAUUAUUAAUAUCUAAAGCAUCUAUUAAAAUUAAGACGUCACUAGUAACAUUAAAAAUACCUGAAGCGUCUAUGUAGAUGGUACUGGUAAUAUUAUAUAUAUCAAAACUAGAUGCGUCUGUUACUUAGAUGGUAUUGAUAUAAUUAAUAAUUUAAAAUACAUACACAAAUUAGAAUCGGAGAAACGAAAAACAAUAUUGGUUGCGUUUCACGGGACUGGGCGAUGGAGGGGCCCAUUUUUCAUAAAUAUAAAAUAAUAGCUGAAGCGUCUGUUUGGACGGUACUGAUUAAAUUAUAAUAUCUGAAGCGUCUGUUUGGACGGUACUGAUUAAAUUAUAAUAUCUGAAGCGUCUAUUUAGACGGUACUGAUGAAAUUAUUAAUAUCUAAAGCAUUUAUUAAAAUUAAGACGGCACUAGUAACAUUAAUAAUAUCUGAAGCGUUUAUGUAGAUGGUACUGGUAAUAUUAUAUAUAUCAAAACUAGAUGCGUCUGUUAUUUAGAUGGUAUUGAUAUAAUUAAUAAUUUAAAAUGC